CUUCCGUAGGGUGAACCUGCGGAAGGAUCAUUACAGAAUGAAAAGUGCUUAACUGCAUUUUUUCUUACACAUGUGUUUUUCUUUUUUUGAAAACUUUGCUUUGGUAGGCCUUCUAUAUGGGGCCUGCCAGAGAUUAAACUCAACCAAAUUUUAUUUAAUGUCAACCGAUUAUUUAAUAGUCAAAACUUUCAACAACGGAUCUCUUGGUUCUCGCAUCGAUGAAGAACGCAGCGAAAUGCGAUAAGUAAUAUGAAUUGCAGAUAUUCGUGAAUCAUCGAAUCUUUGAACGCACAUUGCGCCCUUUGGUAUUCCAAAGGGCAUGCCUGUUUGAGCGUCAUUUCUCCCUCAAACCCUCGGGUUUGGUGUUGAGCGAUACGCUGGGUUUGCUUGAAAGAAAGGCGGAGUAUAAACUAAUGGAUAGGUUUUUUCCACUCAUUGGUACAAACUCCAAAACUUCUUCCAAAUUCGACCUCAAAUCAGGUAGGACUACCCGCUGAACUUAAGCAUAUCAAUAAGCGGAGGAAAA
rnacentral:rRNA from 1 species